UGUUGCCAUAACAAUGGCGUUUCUGGCCACCGUAAUGGCCGCUGAGCCUAUAGCCGACUGUUACAAAGCUAUUUGUGAAAAUGAAAAGAUUGCUAUAAACCCGUUUGUUUUAGAAAACUUAGAGAGAACAACGACGACCAGUUGUUUCCUGUGUUGCAGGAAUUUCACCUUGAAUCUAGCAGGAAACAGGAAGCAGAAAGGCUUCCAGAGACUUACUGACAGUGACAUCCUCGUUCUAUCAAAAUGUCUCCAGAACUAUCAGACCCUUACAGGUCUGGAUCUGGGGUACAACAACAUCAGUGAUGAAGGAGCUGCUUACUUGGCCAUGCUUCUAGAGGCGCAGGACACGACGCUGCGCUCUCUGGACCUCACCUUCAACAACAUUCAGACACAUGGAGCCGAGCUUCUCGCCAGCAGCCUGCAGGGUAACAGCAGCUUGCUCUCUCUCAGGCUGUCGGGGAAUAAGAUUGGUAGAAAUGGAGGCCUGGACUUCGCCGGCAUGCUGCGGGUGAACAUGACGCUGCAGGAGCUGGAGCUGGGCGAGUGCGACCUGGAAAUGCAUGGCAUGAUCGGCCUCAGCACCGCUCUGAAGAACAACACCACCCUCCGGUCUGUGGACGUGAGCCGGGCGCUGCUCUUCAGCCUCUUGGAAGAGUGGGCCGUUCACUUCUCGAAGAUGCUUCCGGUGAACAGCAGCCUGGUGGAGCUCCAUCUGGGGAAGAUGGGCCUGACGGAUACGGGCAUGGAGAGGCUUUCUGAAGGCCUGAAGCUGAACCACAGACUGCGGUACCUGGACCUGCGCUGCAACCGUGUGAGCCGGGAUGGCGCCCUGCAUCUCUCCAAAGUCCUGAAAGGAAACUCCCCUCUGGAGGUCAUCGACCUGUCGUCCAAUCGGAUCGAAGACCCCGGCGCUGAGUACCUGAGCGAAGCCAUCUGUUGUGAGGGCUCCGUCCUCAGAGAGCUUUCUGUCUGCAGAAACAACAUCAGUACCAGCGGCCUGCUGUCCUUGGCCGGGGCUCUGACCAACAGCCCAACUCUGACCCACAUCUACAUCUGGGGAAACCACCUGGAGGAGCCGGUCUGCCAGGCCUUCAAGGAGCUGCUCAACACCGGCCGCCUGACGCCUGAGCAGACCGACGUCAGGCCCUACGAGGUGGACGGCCAUGUUUUCCUCGCCGAGCUCUUCCAUCAUUUGAGGAAACACCUUUUCUUUACAGACGUUAACGAGCAGAACGCAGGUUCAGACUCCCCACAGCAGUGACGCCGUUUAUGAUCAAACACCAGGAAACGGUUUCAUCAGAGGUGGAAAUGGGAUCAUAUUUACAUCUAAAUAUGAAAGAAUGAAAUAAAAGUCGAGAGUGAAUAAAGUUAAA